CACAGCAUCUGUGAGGCACUUCUAAACGUAUGCCACUGUGGAGACGGGCUUUGAAAAGCAAUCAGAGUGGGAAUCGUCUCGCUGGAAGCCAGAAGACAUCAAAGGGAAGACCCGCUUGAGUCGAGGCAGGAAGCGGCGUCGUGGGAAGUGAUUGCGGCGGCUGGUUCUGUCAGUGUCUACAGAGCUGGAGCGGCGGGCGGCGAUGAUGCUGGAGCUGACUCCAGGACAGGAGGCACCGUUCCACCCAGCUACAACGCCGACCUGUCCACCAGCGGCAGGAACUGGAGGACUAGUCAGGAUAGAGGGAAAUAAGACUGCAG